AGCAUCCACCCCUUCCACAAGGGAGGGACCCUCUCACAUUUCCAUUCUGUGGUUAGGCCAUGUAGUUCUGAUGCUUGGCCACCAGAGGGCAGUGGGAGCCAGGUAACAAACUUCCCUUUCCCCACCCCUCCAACCCCCCACCAUCUUUGCACUGCCUAAAGGGAUAUUGCCAGGUCUGGAAGUGAGGAGGGGACCUCAGACACUGGCCCAGCAGUGUUUCUUUCUUUCUCUCUCUCUUUUUUUUUUUUUUUAAUAGAGAUGGGGGGGUCUCGCUCUGUUGCCCAGGCUGGUCUUGAACUCCUGGUCUCAAGCGAUCCUCCCGCCUCAGCCUCCCAAUGUGCUGGGAUUACAGGCGUGAGCCACCAUGCCCGGCCAGCCCAGCAGUUUCUUAUCCCAUGUAGCAACCACUGGUGCAGGUGGCAGCCUGGUGCAUUGGGGAGUAUGGGGACCUCCUGCUGGCGGGGAACUGCGAGGAGAUUGAGCCCCUUCAGGUGGACGAAGAGGAAGUGCUGGCAUUGCUGGAAAAGGUGCUGCAGUCCCAUAUGUCCCUGCCAGCCACUCGAGGAUAUGCCCUCACGGCCCUCAUGAAGCUCAGCACUCGCCUCUGUGGGGACAACAAGUAAGAAGGGGUCCCAGCCCCUUGAGAGAUGGCCUGUCACUGGGCCCACCCAUUUCUGAGUUUCUUUCCAGGCAUACAUACCCAGCCCUCCCUACCCCCCAGCCCUUAGGUUCUUGUUUUUGAGCCAAAUCUGGGUAUUUCCCUGCUCCGUGGGCCUUUCCUUCCUGCCACAUCCUGCAGUGGCACACUGCCAUUGCCACUUACAUACUACACUGGCCCAGCCGCAUCCGCCAGGUGGUGUCCAUCUACGGGAGCUGCUUGGACGUGGAGCUGCAGCAGCGGGCUGUGGAGUAUGACACACUCUUCCGGAAAUACGACCACAUGAGGGCUGCCAUCCUGGAAAAAAUGCCUCUUGUGGAGCGAGAUGGCCCUCAGGCUGAUGAGGAAGCAAAGGAAAGCAAAGAAGCAGCCCAGCUUUCAGAAGCAGCUCCAGUGCCCACAGAGCCCCAGGUGAGAAGGCUAGAAACUCUGGGGUAGGAAGACAGGCUGAGCUUCAUACCCAGCCCUGCCCCUUCUGUCCCUUCUGCCAGGCCUCACAGCUCCUGGAUCUGCU
rnacentral:sRNA from 1 species